ensembl:lncRNA CCDC26 CCDC26 long non-coding RNA
ACGCUACAGUGCUACUGGCCCAUAAUCAGGCAACUGCAGAGUCUUAGGGGGUUAUCUAAUGUAGUCUUGGGGUGGCUGGAUAGACUUCCCAAAGAAGGUGAUGCCGAAGCUGAGGUCGGAAAUUACGAAGAUCAGCUAUGGGCACAUGUGCAGGAUGUGCAGGUUUGUUACACAGCAAACUUGGAAAUCAUGUCUUAGAGAUCAAGGAGCCAAGAGAUGAGACAAGCCUGGGUUCCUAGGUGAUAGGGUGUGGCUGUGUCCCCACCCAAAUCUCGUCUUGAAUUGUAGCUCCCAUAAUCCCCACAUGUUGUGGAGGGACCCUGUGGAAGAACUACCUCAGGAACAUACCAGGAAAGCUGAGAGAAUCCAAAGACCCUUUGAAGGACCUGGAUCACUGCUGCAGGCUCCUUGAGAUGCCGAAAAACUGACUGCAGUUUAUGUGCUCUUGAAAGUGCCACCUCCAGACUAGAGGCCAACCAACACAAAACCAGCACACUAAACACAAACACAACCAAAGACCUUCAAAGAGUCCACUUCAUUCCCCUGCUACCACCACUAGAGCAGGUGCUGGUCUCCAUGGCUGCAAGACCUGAAGACAUCACAUCACAGGACAAUUUGCAGGCAUCUCCCUAGCACCAGCCUAGAGCCCAGUAGCUCCGCUAGGUGGCUAGAUCCAGAAGAGCAAAAACAAUCACUACAGUUAAGCUCUCAGGAAGCCCCAUUCAGGAGAACACCAUAUCAAGGGAGCACUCCAUGGGACAAAAGAAUCUGAAGAGCAGUGCUUGAAUUCCAGAUCUUCCCUCUGACAUAGUCUACCCAAAUGAGAAGGAACCAGAAAAAUAAUUCUGGUUAUAUGACAAAACAAGGUUCUUUUACACCCCCAAAAGAUCAUACCAGCUCACCAGCAAUGGAUCCAAACCAAGACAAAAUCUCUGAAUUGCCAGAAAAAGAAUUCCAAAGGUCAAUUAUAAAGCUAAUGAAGGAGGCUCCAGAGAAAGGUGAAGUACAACUUAAAGAAAUAAAAAACAUGACACAGGAUAUGAAAGAAAAAUUCUUCAGUGAAAUAGAUAGCACAAAUAAAAAAGAUCACAACUUCUGGAAAUCAAAAACACACUUAGAGAAAUGCAAAAUGCCCUGGAAAGUCUCAGCAAUAGAAUCCAACAAGCAGAAGAAAGAACUUUAGAGAUUGGAGACAAGGUUUUCAAAUUAACCAAA